UACAGAGGGGGCAAGGCGUUGUCCGGACUGACUGGGCGUAAAGCGCACGCAGGCGGUUGUGGGCGUCGGUGCUGAAAGUCCACUGCUUAACAGUGGAUGCGUGCCGAUACGCCAUAACUGGAGCGAUGCAGAGGCCAGUGGAAUUGCCGGUGUAGUGGUGAAAUGCGUAGAGAUCGGCAGGAACACCCCAAGGGGAAGGCCAGCUGGCUGGGCAUUUGCUGACGCUCAUGUGCGACAGCGUGGGGAGCGGAACUGG
rnacentral:rRNA from 1 species